rnacentral:rRNA from 1 species
AGAGUUUGAUCCUAGCUCAGAAGAAACGCUAGCUAUAUGCUUAACACAUGCAAGUCGAACGUGUUUUCGGGGAGCUGGGCAGAAGGAAAAGAGGCUCCUAGCUACAAGUAGCUUGUAUCGCCCAAGAGGUGAGAAAAGUUGAGAACAAAGUGGAGAAUGGGUGCCUAACGCGUGGGAAUCUACCGAACAGUUCGGGCCAAAUCCUAAAGAAAGCUAAAAAGCGCUGUUUGAUGAGACUUUGUAGUAUUAGGUAGUUGGUCAGGUAAAGGGUGACCAAGCCAAUGAUGCUUAGCUGGUCUUUUAGGAUGAUCAGCCACACUGGGAUUGNGCAAUGCCUUUUGUAAAUCUCUUUCGUCGAGUGCGCGAUCAUGACAGGACUCGAGGAAGAAGCCCCGACUAACUCUGUGCCAGCCGCUGCGGUAAGACGGGGGAGGGGGGAGGGGUUAGGUGUUCUUCGUAAUUACUGGGCGUAAAGGGCACGUACACGGUAAAUCAGGUUAAAAGUGAAAGCCGCCAAAAACGGUCGGAAUGCUCUCAAAACCAGAGGAUAGUGGAAUUUCAUUUGUAGGGGUGAAAUCCGGAGAUCUACGAAGGAACGCCAAAAGCAAAGGCAGCUCUCUAGGUCCCUACCGAUACUGAGGUGCGAAUGCAUGGGGAUCAAACACGAUUAGAUACCCUGGUAGUCCAUGCCAUAAACGAUGAGUGUUCUCCCUUAGUCUACACAUAUCAGGGGUCCAGCUGACGCGUGAAACACUCCACCCGGGGACUACAGUCGCAAGACCGAAACUCAAAAGAAUUGAUGGGGGCCUGCACAAGUGGUGGAGCAUGUGUUUUAAUUCGAUACAACAUGCAAAACCUUACCAUCCCUUGACAUAUAAACAAGAAAACCUGUCCUUAACGAGAUGGUGCUGACUUUCAUACAGGUGCUGCAUGGCUGUCGUCAGCUCGUGUCGUGAGAGAAACCCUCAUUUUGUGUUGCUGAUACAUGCGCCUAAGGAGAAAGUCUUUGCAACCAAAGUGAGCCAAGUGACGUGCUAGCGCUACUAAUUGAGUGCCAACACCUAGCUGUACUGUCAGUAAGAAGGUAGUCGACGCCUUUCGAAGCACUUUCUAUUUCUACAUAGAAAGGUCCUUUAUCGCUUGGUUAGUGAAGUCAUGUUUUUGGCCUUAUCUUGUUGGUGACGACGACAUCGAGUUGACGGCAGAGAAAGACUCGGCAUUCAAGCGAGCCACCCGGUGGUGUGGUACAUAGUGGGUUUAGUAUGCCCCGCCCAAACAAAAGGCUCUAAAACAAACAAAAAGGUGCGUGACGCACUCAUGAAGGAUUGCCAUUGAUAUACUGGAGGAAGGUGGGGAUGACGUCAAGUCCGCAUGGCCCUUAUGGGUUGGGUCACACAUGUGAUGCAAUGCCAAUUACAAUGGGAAGCAAGGCUGUAAGGCGGAGUGAAUCUGGAAAGAUUGCCUCAGUUCGGAUUGUUCUCUAUAACUCAGGAACAUGAAGUUGGAAUAGCUAGUAAUCGCAGAUCAGCAUGCCGCAGUGAAUAUGUACCCGAGCCCUGUACACACCUCCCAUCACACCCUGGGAAUUGGUUUCGCCUGAAGUAUCGCACAAAUGAUCACCCAUGACUUAUGUGGCACACUAGUGCCCCAAUGGCCUUUGGUAGUCUUAUUGGUGCAUACCACUGUGGGGUCUUCGACUGGGGUGAAGUCGUAACAAGGUAUCCGUAGGGGAACCUGUGGCUG